rnacentral:rRNA from 1 species
UGGGGAAUAUUGCGCAAUGGGCGAAAGCCUGACGCAGCGACGCCGCGUGAGGGAUGAAGGUCUUCGGAUCGUAAACCUCUGUCAGCAGGGAAGAACGGUCACUGUGCUAAUCAGCAGUGAAUUGACGGUACCUGCAAAGGAAGCACCGGCUAACUCCGUCGCC